UACGAAGGGUGCAAGCGUUAAUCGGAAUUACUGGGCGUAAAGCGUGCGCAGGCGGUUUUGUAAGUCUGUCGUGAAAUCCCCGGGCUUAACCUGGGAAUGGCGAUGGAGACUGCAAGGCUGGAGUUUGGCAGAGGGGGGUAGAAUUCCACGUGUAGCAGUGAAAUGCGUAGAUAUCUGGAGGAACACCGGUGGCGAAGGCGGCAUCCUGGACCGGCAUUGACGCUGAGUGAGCGAAAGCCAGGGGAGCAAACAGG
rnacentral:rRNA from 1 species